rnacentral:rRNA from 7 species
AGAGUUUGAUCCUGGCUCAGGACGAACGCUGGCGGCGUGCCUAAUACAUGCAAGUAGAACGCUGAAGAGAGGAGCUUGCUCUUCUUGGAUGAGUUGCGAACGGGUGAGUAACGCGUAGGUAACCUGCCUUGUAGCGGGGGAUAACUAUUGGAAACGAUAGCUAAUACCGCAUAACAAUGGAUGACACAUGUCAUUUAUUUGAAAGGGGCAAUUGCUCCACUACAAGAUGGACCUGCGUUGUAUUAGCUAGUAGGUGAGGUAAUGGCUCACCUAGGCGACGAUACAUAGCCGACCUGAGAGGGUGAUCGGCCACACUGGGACUGAGACACGGCCCAGACUCCUACGGGAGGCAGCAGUAGGGAAUCUUCGGCAAUGGGGGCAACCCUGACCGAGCAACGCCGCGUGAGUGAAGAAGGUUUUCGGAUCGUAAAGCUCUGUUGUAAGUCAAGAACGGGUGUGAGAGUGGAAAGUUCACACUGUGACGGUAGCUUACCAGAAAGGGACGGCUAACUACGUGCCAGCAGCCGCGGUAAUACGUAGGUCCCGAGCGUUGUCCGGAUUUAUUGGGCGUAAAGCGAGCGCAGGCGGUUUGAUAAGUCUGAAGUUAAAGGCUGUGGCUCAACCAUAGUUCGCUUUGGAAACUGUCAAACUUGAGUGCAGAAGGGGAGAGUGGAAUUCCAUGUGUAGCGGUGAAAUGCGUAGAUAUAUGGAGGAACACCGGUGGCGAAAGCGGCUCUCUGGUCUGUAACUGACGCUGAGGCUCGAAAGCGUGGGGAGCGAACAGGAUUAGAUACCCUGGUAGUCCACGCCGUAAACGAUGAGUGCUAGGUGUUGGAUCCUUUCCGGGAUUCAGUGCCGCAGCUAACGCAUUAAGCACUCCGCCUGGGGAGUACGACCGCAAGGUUGAAACUCAAAGGAAUUGACGGGGGCCCGCACAAGCGGUGGAGCAUGUGGUUUAAUUCGAAGCAACGCGAAGAACCUUACCAGGUCUUGACAUCCCGAUGCUAUUUCUAGAGAUAGAAAGUUACUUCGGUACAUCGGUGACAGGUGGUGCAUGGUUGUCGUCAGCUCGUGUCGUGAGAUGUUGGGUUAAGUCCCGCAACGAGCGCAACCCCUAUUGUUAGUUGCCAUCAUUCAGUUGGGCACUCUAGCGAGACUGCCGGUAAUAAACCGGAGGAAGGUGGGGAUGACGUCAAAUCAUCAUGCCCCUUAUGACCUGGGCUACACACGUGCUACAAUGGUUGGUACAACGAGUUGCGAGUCGGUGACGGCGAGCUAAUCUCUUAAAGCCAAUCUCAGUUCGGAUUGUAGGCUGCAACUCGCCUACAUGAAGUCGGAAUCGCUAGUAAUCGCGGAUCAGCACGCCGCGGUGAAUACGUUCCCGGGCCUUGUACACACCGCCCGUCACACCACGAGAGUUUGUAACACCCGAAGUCGGUGAGGUAACCUUUUGGAGCCAGCCGCCUAAGGUGGGACAGAUGAUUGGGGUGAAGUCGUAACAAGGUAGCCGUAUCGGAAGGUGCGGCUG